GUAGUCUCGCACAGAUGCAUAUCAAUAAGCGGAGGAAAAGAAACUAACAAGGAUUCCCUUAGUAACGGCGAGUGAAGCGGGAAGAGCUCAAAUUUGAAAUCUUCAAGGGUUUACCUUUACGAAUUGUAGUUUAAAGAAGAGUUUUCUGUUGAGGUUUUGGUAAAAGUUCUUUGGAAUAGGACAUCAUAGAGGGUGAGAAUCCCGUAUUUGACCAUUACUUUCAACUGUGUGAUACACUUUCAAAGAGUCGGAUUGUUUGGGAAUGCAGUCCAAAAUGGGUGGUAAAUUUCAUCUAAAGCUAAAUAUUGGCGAGAGACCGAUAGCGAACAAGUACCGUGAGGGAAAGAUGAAAAGAACUUUGAAAAGAGAGUUAAACAGUACGUGAAAUUGUCAAAAGGGAAGCGUUUGACACCAGUGUUGUUUUCUCGAAAAUCAAUUAAAAAGAGUUAGAUUUUGUUGUGUAUUGACCUUAACAGCUUGCAUUUCAAUUUUCUUGCUUUUUUUAAUGCACUUUUCGUUUAACAAGUCAACAUCAGUUUCUUUUGUUGUAAAAAGGUCAUUGGAAGGUGGCUUUCUUUUCGGAGAAAGUGUUUAUAGCCUUUGACUCCUGCAAUCGGAGAGACUGAGGUCUGCAGCGUAGAUCCUUCGGGGUUAGAUACAUUUGUGCUAAGUUAUAGCUUUUUAUAGACAACUUGUUGACUAUGAUUAGUCUUGUAGCUUACUCGCUUAUGCUAUUUUACCUACGCUUAGGAUGUUGAGCGCAUGUCUCUCUCU
rnacentral:rRNA from 1 species